rnacentral:rRNA from 1 species
CGGAUCGUAAAGCCCUGUCGGAGGGGAAGAUGCUUUUACUGUCUAACAGAUAGUGAAGGUGACGGUACCCUUAAAGGAAGCACCGGCUAACUCUGUGC